rnacentral:ncRNA from 1 species
AAAUUGAAGAGUUUGAUCAUGGCUCAGAUUGAACGCUGGCGGCAGGCCUAACACAUGCAAGUCGAACGGCAGCACAGAAGAGCUUGCUCUUUGGGUGGCGAGUGGCGGACGGGUGAGUAAUGUCUGGGAAACUGCCCGAUGGAGGGGGAUAACUACUGGAAACGGUAGCUAAUACCGCAUAACGUCGCAAGACCAAAGUGGGGGACCUUCGGGCCUCACACCAUCGGAUGUGCCCAGAUGGGAUUAGCUAGUAGGUGGGGUAACGGCUCACCUAGGCGACGAUCCCUAGCUGGUCUGAGAGGAUGAUCAGCCACACUGGAACUGAGACACGGUCCAGACUC